GUUUGCUCAUCUGUAAAGUGAGGAAAAUAAUGGUACCUGCCAAACAAAGAUUCAUCUAAAACCCUUAGUGCACACAGUAGCUGCUCAAUAAUCAUCAGACAUUCUUAGCACUGCUGCAGAAGAGGAAAGAAAAGUUCCAGAAGUUAGAUCACUUAUCCAAACUCACACAGCCAAGUUGAAUAGACUCGUGGUUUUGCCCUACUCAGCAUCCUUGCAUCCUCUUUUGGUUAGAGUACUUUCACUCUCUUUCAAGAACCACCCUCCCCCACUCUCAGGCCAUGUGAUUUGGGUGGAGUUGACACCUCUAUUUCAAGCUCCAGGGGAGAGUAUGUGACCCUGGUCUGGCCAAUUGCUUAUUCCAUCCCUCUGGUCACAGCAAUUGGUUUGAGAGUGGACUUGUGACCCAUGCUGAGUCCGUGAGAAUUCCGGAACUUUGUGGAAUCCAUUGGGAAACAGAUGAACCUGUCUUUGGAGUUGACACUGGAAGGAUGUAAGCUUGGAGCUGCUGGGGGUUGCUAGGUGGAGAGAGUGCCUAAGUGGAAAGAAAACCCAAAGGAGACAGAGCCAAAGGAUGACUCCGCCUUGGCUGAGCCAAAAGCCAGAAGACAAAGGAGACUGCCGAAGUGUCGAAACAAGUCAGACCCAGGACAGGGUGAAGUGUGGAUCUGGACGGCCACACAGGAACUAGCUGACUCAGCAAGAAAGCAGCCCCGCCUGGCUGGCUGUCUCUCCCACGGUCCCAUGAUGACCUUUUGGAAACUCAGACUGGAGUUUUAAGAUUUUCCUGGUUCCCUUUGGUCUUUUCUGUACGGCGCUCUCUCUCCUUCUCUAGAGAAGCCCCCAAAGGAGGGCGCAGAGGAGACAGGGACUCUCAGCAUCCGGGAAGAAGCCACUGAACCAGCCCAGGCUGACUCUGCAGGGAGAAAGGAGCUUCCAGCCCAGCUGCUACAUAGCCAGAGGGUCCUGGGCUGACCCUCAGGCCCUCACUCUCCCAGCUCCCUUGUCCCCACACAGAUCUGUCCGCUGGUCACUUUGGCCCCCAUCUCAGGCAUCACAGACAGCAGCUCCAUGGCUUCCCUUUCUCUCCAUAGGAGAUGUCUGU
rnacentral:lncRNA from 1 species